rnacentral:rRNA from 1 species
AGACGUCUACAUUAGAUACCCCCGUAGUCCCAGCCGUAAACUAUGCGCGUUAGGUGUAUCGGUGACCACGAGUUACCGAGGUGCCGAAGGGAAACCGUGAAACGUGCCGCCUGGGAAGUACGGUCGCAAGGCUGAAACUUAAAGGAAUUGGCGGGGAGCACCACAACAGGUGGAGCCUGCGGUUUAAUUGGACUCAACGCCGGGAAGCUCACCGGAUAGGACAGCAGAAUGAUUGCCGGGCUGAAGACCCUGCAUGACUAGCUG